GAUUAGUGGCGACGGGUGAGUAACACGUGGGCAAUCUGCCCUUCACUCUGGGACAAGCCCUGGAAACGGGGUCUAAUACCGGAUAACACUCUGUCCCGCAUGGGACGGGGUUAAAAGCUCCGGCGGUGAAGGAUGAGCCCGCGGCCUAUCAGCUUGUUGGUGGGGUAAUGGCCUACCAAGGCGACGACGGGUAGCCGGCCUGAGAGGGCGACCGGCCACACUGGGACUGAGACACGGCCCAGACUCCUACGGGAGGCAGCAGUGGGGAAUAUUGCACAAUGGGCGAAAGCCUGAUGCAGCGACGCCGCGUGAGGGAUGACGGCCUUCGGGUUGUAAACCUCUUUCAGCAGGGAAGAAGCGAAAGUGACGGUACCUGCAGAAGAAGCGCCGGCUAACUACGUGCCAGCAGCCGCGGUAAUACGUAGGGCGCAAGCGUUGUCCGGAAUUAUUGGGCGUAAAGAGCUCGUAGGCGGCUUGUCACGUCGGAUGUGAAAGCCCGGGGCUUAACCCCGGGUCUGCAUUCGAUACGGGCUAGCUAGAGUGUGGUAGGGGAGAUCGGAAUUCCUGGUGUAGCGGUGAAAUGCGCAGAUAUCAGGAGGAACACCGGUGGCGAAGGCGGAUCUCUGGGCCAUUACUGACGCUGAGGAGCGAAAGCGUGGGGAGCGAACAGGAUUAGAUACCCUGGUAGUCCACGCCGUAAACGUUGGGAACUAUGUGUUGGCGACAUUCCACGUCGUCGGUGCCGCAGCUAACGCAUUAAGUUCCCCGCCCUGGGGGAGUACGGCCGCAAGGCUAAAACUCA
rnacentral:rRNA from 1 species